GCCACAUCAUGUUGAAACACCGGUUCCGUACGAUCACCGAAGUUAAGUAACGUCGAGACUGCUCAGUACUUAAAUGGGUGACCGAAGAAGAAUACCAGGUGUUGUAAG